UACAGAGGUCCCAAGCGUUGUUCGGAUUCACUGGGCGUAAAGGGUGCGUAGGUGGUGAGGUAAGUCGAGUGUGAAAGCCCCGAGCUUAACUUGGGAACUGCGCUCGAAACUACUUGGCUAGAGUGUGGCAGAGGGAGGUGGAAUUCCACGUGUAGCGGUGAAAUGCGUAGAGAUGUGGAGGAACACCGAUGGCGAAGGCAGCCUCCUGGGCCAACACUGACGCUCAUGCACGAAAGCGUGGGGAGCAAACAGG
rnacentral:rRNA from 1 species